rnacentral:misc_RNA from 1 species
GAUGAAGAACGUAGCGAAAUGCGAUAAGUAAUGUGAAUUGCAGGAUUCAGUGAAUCAUCGAAUCUUUGAACGCACAUUGCGCCCGUCAGUAUUCUGGCGGGCAUGCCUGUUCGAGCGUCAUUACGCCCCUCAAGUCCCCUGUGGACUUGGUGUUGGGGAUCGGCGAGGCUGGUUUUCCAGCACAGCCGUCCCUUAAAUUAAUUGGCGGUCUCGCCGUGGCCCUCCUCUGCGCAGUAGUAAAACACUCGCAACAGGAGCCCGGCGCGGUCCACUGCCGUAAAACCCCCCAACUUUUUAUAGUUGACCUCGAAUCAGGUAGGACUACCCGCUGAACUUAAGCAUAUCAAUAAGCGGAGGA